CAAAACAAGAUUAGAUACCUCGUAUCUCACCCUUAAACGAUGAGUGCUAAGUGUCAGAGGGUUUUCUGCCCUUAGUGCUGCAGCUAACGCAUUAAGCACUCCGCCUGGGGAGUACGGCCGCAAAGGCUGAAACUCAACAGGAAUUGACGGGGGCCGCACAAGCGGUGGAGCAUGUGGUUUAAUUCGAAGCAACGCGAAGAACCUUACCAGGUCUUGACAUCCUCUGACAACCCUAGAGAUAGGGCUUUCCCCUUCGGGGGACAGAGUGACAGGUGGUGCAUGGUUGUCGUCAGCUCGUGUCGUGAGAUGUUGGGUUAAGUCCCGCAACGAGCGCAACCCUUGAUCUUAGUUGCCAGCAUUCAGUUGGGCACUCUAAGGUGACUGCCGGUGACAAACCGGAGGAAGGUGGGGAUGACGUCAAAUCAUCAUGCCCCUUAUGACCUGGGCUACACACGUGCUACAAUGGAUGGUACAAAGGGCUGCAAACCUGCGAAGGUAAUCGAUUCCCAUAAAGCCAUUCUCAGUUCGGAUAGCAGGCUGCAACUUGCCUGCAUGAAGCCGGAAUAGCUCGUAAUCGCGGAUCAGCAUGUCGCGGUGAAUACGUUCCCGGGCCUGGUACACACCGCCCGUCACUUCACACAGAGUUUCCAUAAACUGUAGUCCAGGAGGCAUAUAAGUGUGUACCAAGCUCACGUAUAGAGAUG
rnacentral:rRNA from 1 species